CAUGUUCAGCGUGGCAUUUCGGACUUCUGGCGGGGGCGGGGGGGGGGAGUUUGCUGGUAUUUCACGUGACCCUAAAGCGCCAUGCCGGAAGCACUGAGUCUGAUGCGCCGGAACUAGUCUCCACUGUGUGGUUUGGUCUUGAUUUCCAUUGGUUCUCUGUGGUCUUGGAUAAGCCUCUGGAUCUCGCUUUUAUCAUUUUCGAAGUAAACAGGAUCCAAUAGAGAUUUUCCUAGAAUCAUUCAACUAAAAAUGAAGAAAUUUUUUUUUUGAGAGGAAGGACGGGAUCGCAGUUAAAGAUGUUAAUGUUAAAUCAUUCGUCUGUGAUUUCAGGACAUUGUCUUUGCACGAAUUCCUGUGGAGAAGGGAGGAAAGGAGCAACAGGAAUGAUAUUAUUGCUGCCUUCAACUUUUGCCUUUGUCACGCUCUCCAGGCAAAGACCACCAGGAACAAGCCUAUAGUUGAACAAAUUGGGCUUAUUACUUAUUGCAACUUGUGAGAACACACACACCUGGGAGCCAUAAGGCAUGUCAAUAGGAGGGAAUUAGACAGGUCUUAUUGAGCUAAAAAAGGAUGAACCUGUAAACAAAAAGUUGAAGAGCUUUGGUGUACUAAAGUGGAUCAACCUCUGACUGCCCAAAGAUGCAGAAACACAGUACCAGGUAGAACUCAAGCUGGGGCAGCAAACUGCAGCAGACCUGCAGCAGAGGGGUCUGAUGGUUAGAAGGAAAACUAAUGAACAGAAAAGAAUAGCAUCAACAUCAACAAAAAGGACAUCCACGCAAAAACUACACACAAAGGUCACUGACAUGAAAGACCAAAGGUAGAUAAAUCCAUGAAGAUGAGGAAAAAAAUGCAAAAUGGCUGAAAAUUCCAAAAACCAGACUGCCUCUUUUCCUCCAAAGGAUCACAACUCCUUGCCAGUAAGGAAACAAAACUGGACAGGGAAUGAGUUUGAUGAAUUGACAGAAGUAGGCUUCAGAAGGUGGGUAAAACAAACUACUCCUAGCUAAAGGUCCAUGUUCCAACCCAUCAAUAUUGUGAACAUUGCCAUAUUGCCCAAAGUAAUUUAUAGAUUCAAUGCUAUCUCCAUCAAGCUACCAUUGACUUUCUUCACAGAAUUGGAAUAAACUACUUUAAAUUUCCUAUGGAACCACAAAAGAGCCCAUAUAGCCAAGACACUCCUAAGCAAAAAGACCGAAGCUGGAGGCAUCAUGCUACCUGACUUUAAAUUAUACUACGUGGCUACAGUAACCAAAACAGCGUGGUACUGGUUACAAACAGAUAUAUAGACCCAUGGAAGAACAUGGUAUGGGUUACAAACAGAUAUAUAGACCAAUGGAAGAACAGAGGCUUCAUAAAUAAUGCCACAUAUCUACGACCAUCUGAUCUUAAACAAACCUGACAAAAACAAACAAUGGGGAAGGAUUCCCUAUUUAAUAAAUAUGUUAGAAAAACUGGCUAGCCAUAUGCAGAAAACUGAAACUGGACCCCUUCCUUACACCUUACACAAAAAUUAACUCAAGAUGGAUUAAAGACUUAAACAUAAGACCUAAACCAUUAAACAAACAAAAGAAAAACUCAGAAGAAAACCUAGGCAGUACCACUCAGGACAUAGUCAUAGGCAAAGACUUCAUGAUCAAAACACCAAAAGCAAUGGCAACAAAAGACAAAAUUGACAAAUGGGAUCUAAUUAAACUAAAGAGCCUCUGCACAGCAAAAGAAACUAAAAAACUAUCUUCAGAGUAAAGAGGCAACCUACAGAAUGGGAGAAAAUUUUUGCAAUCCAUCUGACAAAAGGCUAAUAUCCAGAAUCUACAAGGAGCUUAAACAAAUUUAUAAGAACAAAACAAACCACCCCAUCAAAAAGUGGAUGAAGAAUAUGAACAGACACUUUUCAAAAGAAGACAUUUAUGCAUCUAACAAACAUGAAGAAAAGCUCAUGAUCACUGGUCAUUAGAGAAAUGCCAAUCAAAACCACAGUGAGAUAUCAUCUCAUGCCAGUUGGAAUGGCAAUCAUUAAAAAGUCAGGAAACAACAUAUGCUGGAGAGGAUGUGGAAAAAUAGGAACACUUUUACAUGGUUGGUGGGAGUGUAAAUUAGUUAACCAAUGUGGAAGACACAGUGUGGCAAUUCCUCAAGGAUCUAAAUCCAAAAAUACCAUUUGACCCCACAAUCCCAUUACUGGGUUUAUACCCAAAGGAUUAUAAAUCAUUCUGCUAUAAAGACACAUGUAUACUUAUGUUUAUUGCAGCACUAUUCACAAUAGCAAAGAUUGGAACCAACUCAAAUGCCCAUCAACGAUAGACUGGAUAAGGAAAGCGUGGCACAUAUACACCACAGAAUACUAUGUAGACAUAAAAAACGAUGAGUUCAUGUCCUAUGCAGGGACAUGGAUGAAGCUGGAAACUAUCAUUCUCAGCAAACUAACAGAGGAACAGAGAACCAAACACUGCAUGUUCUCACUCAGAAGUGGGGGUUGAACAAUGAGAACACAUGGACACAGAGAGGGGAACAUCACACACCAGAGCCUGUUGGGGGUGGGGGACUAGGGGAGGGAUAGCAUUAGGAGAAAUACCUAAUGUAGAUGAUGGGUUGAUGGGUGCAGCAAACCGCCAUGACCUGUAUACCUAUGUAACAAACUUGCACAUUCUGCACAUGUAUCCCAGAACUUAAAGUAUAAUAAUAAAAAAAGAAAUAUGGUUUCUAUAUGUAAAUAAAGUUAUCACUAAAAAAAGAAUCUUACCACUCACCAAUAAAAAGAUAAAUAAUCUGAGUAAAACGUAAGCAAAGGAUUUGAGUAGAUAUUUCUUCAAAUGGCUAAUAAGCCUUUGAAAAGAUAUAUGACAUUAUUAUUUACUCCCUGUUCCCCUAUUCCCUCAGGCUCAGCCAGUGGAACUGAGAUUCCAGUGACUUUUCUUUUUCCUUUUUAGUUUACAGAAUCACAUUUUGAGGAAUUCACAAGUAUUUUCCGAAACAGUAAAUAGUCGAUUACAGUCAGUUACGUUAGAUUCUUUAUGUUUCAUGCUUUCAUUUACAUAUUAACGAAGCAUUGCAUGCAGGAAUUAGGGAUAAAUAAUGUUAUUAGAAGUGCAUAAUGGGCUGAUUCUUAUGGAGCAUAUGUUUAUGUUGUGUAGACUUCUUUUGAUAAUGACUGUACUGAAGGACCUAAAACAAAACUUACAUGCAAAAACUUUAUCCUGAGAAUACUGAGUCAUUGUUUUAUAUAAGGAGAAGUCUCAAUCAGAUUUGCAUUUUAGAAAGUCCAUCUUCAAGGUUAUAGAGUUAGAGCAGGGGUUAGCAAACUUUUCCUGUUAAGAGCCAGGUAGUAAAUAAAUAUUUUAUGUAGAGAGUGGAUAAUGUAAAAUGUC